CAGCCGCCGCGGGAACACGUAGGUGGCAAGCGUUGUCCGGAAUUAUUGGGCGUAAAGGGCUCGCAGGCGGUUUCUUAAGUCUGAUGUGAAAGCCCCCGGCUCAACCGGGGAGGGUCAUUGGAGACUGGGAAACUUGAGUGCAGAAGAGGAGAGUGGAAUUCCACGUGUAGCGGUGAAAUGCGUAGAGAUGUGGAGGGACACCAGUGGCGAAGGCGACUCUCUGGUCUGUAACUGACGCUGAGGAGCGAAAGCGUGGGGAGCGAACAGGAUUAGAUACCCGCGUAGUCCCUGUCUCUUAUAC
rnacentral:rRNA from 1 species